rnacentral:rRNA from 2 species
AAUCCAUAGGUUAAUGAGGCGAACCGGGGGAACUGAAACAUCUAAGUACCCCGAGGAAAAGAAAUCAACCGAGAUUCCCCCAGUAGCGGCGAGCGAACGGGGAGGAGCCCAGAGCCUGAAUCAGCAUGUGUGUUAGUGGAAGCGUCUGGAAAGGCGCGCGAUACAGGGUGACAGCCCCGUACACAAAAGCGCAUGUGCUGUGAGCUCGAUGAGUAGGGCGGGACACGUGGUAUCCUGUCUGAAUAUGGGGGGACCAUCCUCCAAGGCUAAAUACUCCUGACUGACCGAUAGUGAACCAGUACCGUGAGGGAAAGGCGAAAAGAACCCCGGCGAGGGGAGUGAAAAAGAACCUGAAACCGUGUACGUACAAGCAGUGGGAGCCCCACCACCAAAGCAUUUGCUGUACCGCGUUGACGGAGCGAAGCGACGUCAAACCGAUAAAACAGCAGUGUAA